CCGAGAGCGGAGGCGGCGCCCUGGACGAGUCGCCGCCCCCGCCCGCCGGAGGACUCGUCCACCAGCAAGCUACCCCGCUACGCCCGCGAGGACCCCGGUAUCCUGCCAGGGAGUAUCCUGAGUGCCGCGGAGCCCCUCAGGUCCAUCCUCAAGAAGAGGUACGACGAGGGGGCGCGCGCACUCCCGAGCCCUUACUCCAAAAGUGCCUACUACGGGGACGACCAACACCUGCUCUUCGGGGCGCCGUCCUUCGUCGAGCUCGCCGCCGCGCAGAAGCAGUACCCGGAGCAUGACUCGUGAGAGCUGUGCACAGGGGGUGUUAACCGGGGGACGGGACCAGAGAUGACGUCACGAGAGGGGGCGUGGUCUUCAUCAACGUGAAGAGAAAAUAGGAAAAAAAACAACAACGGAAGGGAAGGAAGGGACAAGGGGAAGAGAAAAAAAGGGGGGAAAGGGAAAAGGAAGAAGACCAGAAGGGUAAAUUAGGUGACCAAAGAAAUCGCUAGAAACCGUCCAUCCAGCACCAGCGGGAGAUUUGGUGGCUCCUACAACACAGGGAAACACUUCACAUCCUGUGGAUCCACCGUAUGCUCAUAGGAUGGUCAUUACGCUGGGAAUAACUCUUAUAGAGUGAUUAUCAGUUUUAACAAUAGCCCUUUAAAAAAACAAAAACAUUAAAAACGUAAAAAAAAAAAAAAAAAAAAAAAAA